rnacentral:rRNA from 1 species
AGUGAACGCUGGCGGUAGGCCUAACACAUGCAAGUCGAACGGCAGCACAGGAGAGCUUGCUCUCUGGGUGGCGAGUGGCGGACGGGUGAGGAAUACAUCGGAAUCUACUCUGUCGUGGGGGAUAACGUAGGGAAACUUACGCUAAUACCGCAUACGACCUACGGGUGAAAGCAGGGGAUCUUCGGACCUUGCGCAAGUGAAUGAGCCGAUGUCGGAUUGGCUAGUUGGCGGGGUAAAGGCACACUAAGGCGACGAUCCGUAGCUGGUCUGAGAGGAUGAUCAGCCACACUGGAACUGAGAAACGGUCCAGACUCCUACGGGAGGCAGCAGUGGGGAAUAUUGGACAAUGGGCGCAAGCCUGAUCCAGCCAUACCGCGUGGGUGAAGAAGGCCUUCGGGUUGUAAAGCCCUUUUGUUGGGAAAGAAAUCAGCUGGCUAAUACCCGGUUGGGAUGACGGUACCCAAAGAAUAAGCACCGGCUAACUUCGUGCCAGCAGCCGCGGUAA